rnacentral:lncRNA from 1 species
GAAAAUCUCCUUCGAGUUCACAAAAACUCAAAUGCAGUCGUGCUUAGUACAGAAAUUUUAUCGAACGGUUGGUACGCAGGAAAAGAACGCUCCAAAUUGAUCCUUAAUUGCCUAUUCCGAAUGGGCAGUGCAGCUAUUCUGCUCUCUAACAAAAAACAAGCGAAAGAAUCUUCAAAAUAUAAACUGAUUAAAACGCUCAGAACACAGAGAGCUUUCGAUGACAAAAGUUACCUAUCAGCCUUACGCGAGGAGGACAGGUACGGAAAACUCGGCGUCGCUCUGACACGGGAUUUACCCCAUGUCGCCGGAGAAACUCUCCGAUCAAACAUAACGAUUCUGGGUGCUUCAGUUUUACCGUUGUCGGAGAAACUACGGC